UACGUAGGGUGCAAGCGUUGUCCGGAAUUAUUGGGCGUAAAGAGCUCGUAGGCGGUCUGUUACGUCCGCUGUGAAAACCCAGGGCUUAACCCUGGGCUUGCAGUGGAUACGGGCAGACUAGAGGCAGGUAGGGGAGAAUGGAAUUCCCGGUGUAGCGGUGAAAUGCGCAGAUAUCGGGAGGAACACCGGUGGCGAAGGCGGUUCUCUGGGCCUGUACUGACGCUGAGGAGCGAAAGCGUGGGGAGCGAACAGG
rnacentral:rRNA from 1 species